rnacentral:lncRNA from 1 species
UGGUAGGUGAAUUUUUCACCUUCUUUUGAUAGAAAAUGGAGUCCUAAAAUCUCUCAAAAUGUGUCCAACCUGCAUCUUGAAUUUUUGGCCAUCGGAUCUGCUUUGAACGCAUGAGAUCACAUCAAAAAUCCUCUUCAUCAGGCCUUUUUAUAGUUAGAUUUGAUACCAGCCAUUGGAUCUUGUGACGGAUUGAAUUUGGACCGUCGAUCAGCACACC